rnacentral:rRNA from 1 species
UACGUAGGGUGCAAGCGUUGUCCGGAAUUAUUGGGCGUAAAGAGCUCGUAGGCGGUCUGUCGCGUCUGCUGUGAAAACUCAGGGCUUAACCCUGAGCUUGCAGUGGGUACGGGCAGACUAGAGUGCGGUAGGGGAGACUGGAAUUCCUGGUGUAGCGGUGAAAUGCGCAGAUAUCAGGAGGAACACCGGUGGCGAAGGCGGGUCUCUGGGCCGUAACUGACGCGUGAGGCGACGGAAAGCCAGGGGAGCAAACAGG